CAAUGCUGGAUGGCUGUCAGUAUUCACAUCAAAUCAUCUAGAUCCAUUGUGGUCUCUUCUCCAGUUCUUUUGGUAUUCUUUGGAACCUUUGAACCAAUA